UCAGCUGGAGUCUCUACACAGCCAGAUCAGAUCAACGAUAGCAAACCCAGGACAGCAGUUUCCUCUAGUAUCUGGCCCACGAGACACCUCACCUUUCUGCAAUAUGAAGUGCCUGGUUCUGGGACUCGGCACACUGGCCUUGCUGGCAUCCACCAUGGCACAGAAUUCUACAAUAGGACCAACAACAGACCAACAGAAUUCUACAAUAGGACCAACAACAGACCAACAGAAUUCUACAAUAGGACCAACAACAGACCAACAGAAUUCUACAAUAGGACCAGCAACCUUCACAACUGCCACAACCGCCACCUGGCCAUCCACACCAAAUUCUACAAUAGGAACAACAACCGACCAACGGAAUUCUACAAUAGGACCAACAACCGACCAACAGAAAUCUACAACAGGACCAACAUAUGCCACCACAACCGCCACAUGGUCUACCACUCUCACCACACCAGCAGGGGGCAGCCAUGUCUUCAGUUACUCCCUGACUCUACUGUUUGGUUCGACAGCCAACCUGAUAAUACAUUCACUAUGGCAUUGAGCGCCACAUAGAGGACAAUAGUCACAUUGACUGCACCUUUCUGAGAGUGUUAAAGGGUCAUUUUGGGAUUCUGGCAAUGAGGCCCAUUAUCUACUUUCCCAGAGUCAUGGAUACCAGUUUUAAGUCUCUGCGUGCGGUUUGAAUAAAGUUGCUAACUUGCGCAACUGUUAACUUCCUUUUAGCUCAAUGACUGCUAAUGCUAGUUGUUAACUAGCGCAAUUGCUAAUUAGCAUUAGCGAAAUGACUGGAACUUCCUGUCAUUGUGUUAACACUAAUUAGCAUUGGCAUUAGCAUUACCGCUAACUUCCUUCAUACAGGACACAGAGACAUAAAAAUGGUAUCCACAAGUUCAUCUGAUUCUGGGAAAGACGAUAAAGGGCACCAUUGCCAAAUCCUAACGUAUUCCUUUAAAAACUGAAUAAGAGCGUAGGAGAAUAAUCUUUCUCUCAAUUUGUGUGUUUUACAAUGACCUGCUGGAGGUUUGUGUGUGCUCUGUGUAUUUCAAAAUGUAGAACUGAAACACUGGUUGAUAGGGUUGCAAUGCCCAAAAUCGAUGUAUACUAAUGUUUUAUAGUCAAUCAAGCGGUGAGUUCCUUUGCUUUGUAAACAAGUGAAGUAUUCAUGUGAUUGCCUUCGGACAAAAAUAGGUCAUUAUACAAAUGGUAAAUUAUUUAAUUUCUCACUGUACAAAUAUUGAAAUGUACCCAAAUAAAAUAUUUUUUUUGUAUU